rnacentral:misc_RNA from 1 species
GAUGAAGAACGCAGCGAAAUGCGAUAAGUAAUGUGAAUUGCAGAAUUCAGUGAAUCAUCGAAUCUUUGAACGCACAUUGCGCCCGCUAGUAUUCUGGCGGGCAUGCCUGUCCGAGCGUCAUUUCAAUCCUCAAGCCCCCGGGCUUGGUGUUGGGGAUCGGCGAGCCUCCGCGCCCGCCGUCCCCUAAAUCUAGUGGCGGUCUCGCUGUAGCUUCCUCUGCGUAGUAGCACACCUCGCACUGGGAAACAGCGCGGCCACGCCGUUAAACCCCCAACUUCUGAACGUUUGACCUCGGAUCAGGUAGGAAUACCCGCUGAACUUAAGCAUAUCAAUAAGCGGAGGA